rnacentral:piRNA from 1 species
CCCAUCAGAUGUUGUCGCAGGGCCAGGUU